GCAAUAUUUUUUCCAUCCUUUCACUUUCAGUUUGUGAGUGUCUUUGGGUCAGAAGUUUGUCUCUUGUAUGCAACAUAUAUAUAGGUCUUGUUUUUUUACUCAUACCGGCCA